GGUAUGGUCAUUUCGCUAAUUCGUGUUUGCGGCCAGUUAAGAUGUUUAACUUAUAAAUUCAUUUGGAAAUUGAACUACAAUUAAAUACGUUUUUCAAUUGCAAACGAAUCGGGGAACGGAGUGGCGCGCGCUCAGUUAUUCCCAAACGCAAACCCUUUGUGACGCGGUGAAUAAAGAACGUUGUUAACGUUCCUUCCGUACUGCUGACACAGGUCUACAAACACGCUCCCCAAAGGUAGGCUUUUCCAACACUUUCUUAUUUUAGUUCGUUUUGGAUUUCAUUUUCACCUCAUGUAGUUUCUGUUCUGCGUGUUCUUGCGGAGUUCCAACAGGUGUCAUCGGGGAUGGUGAUGAGGACAGACGUGUGAAGGGCGUGCUCAAAGUUGAAGCAGCCUACUGUCCUCCACCGUCCUCAUGGCUGAAGAGAUCAGGAGAAUAGCUGCUCUGCUAGAUCAGCCUCUGAGUGAGAGAGACCAGGAACUCAUCACUUACGUCAAGCACAAGUUUGCCACCGACUUCAAGAAAGCUGAUAAAGAGACUGUACCACCACUGUCCAUGUCCAUGAACCAACAGGCACUGGACCCAGAGGAAGAGGAGAACCUACAGAGGAUACAGUACAGGAAGCAGAAGCUGUUCUCAGAGAAACUCCAGUGGAUUUACAUGGUCCUGUGUGGCAUCUCUCACAUGCGAAACAGAGAUCUGAAGACACUGGUUCCUCUCAACAGCAGCUAUGUGAACAUCAUCAUGAAGGACACAGAGAAGACCAACAUCCUGCUGAAGCAGUCGCCCAGCUACAACCCUCCGUUGAAUUACACCAGGCAGCUGGUGUCCCUGGCCCCAGAGGACUGUCACAGCAUCAGCCGUGACGUGUGGGACACCUUCAUCAGUCACCAGGACACCACAGGUGACAAUAUGACCUGGUCGAUUGGAACAAUCUAUUGAGUGUCACCUGAAUUGCAAUAUUCAAU
rnacentral:lncRNA from 13 species